GGCUCCAUAGUGUAGUUGUUAGCACGUCUGCUUUACACAUAAAAGGUCCUGGGUUCCUGCCCCAGGUGGAGUCA
rnacentral:tRNA from 1 species